AUUGAACGCUGGCGGCAUGCCUUACACAUGCAAGUCGAACGGCAGCACGGGAGCAAUCCUGGUGGCGAGUGGCGAACGGGUGAGUAAUACAUCGGAACGUGCCCAGUAGUGGGGGAUAACUGCCCGAAAGAGCAGCUAAUACCGCAUACGACCUGAGGGUGAAAGCGGGGGAUCGCAAGACCUCGCGCUAUUGGAGCGGCCGAUGUCAGAUUAGCUAGUUGGUGGGGUAAAGGCCUACCAAGGCAACGAUCUGUAGUUGGUCUGAGAGGACGACCAGCCACACUGGGACUGAGACACGGCCCAGACUCCUACGGGAGGCAGCAGUGGGGAAUUUUGGACAAUGGGGGCAACCCUGAUCCAGCAAUGCCGCGUGCAGGAAGAAGGCCUUCGGGUUGUAAACUGCUUUUGUCAGGGAAGAAAUCCUCUGGGUUAAUACCUCGGGGGGAUGACGGUACCUGAAGAAUAAGCACCGGCUAACUACGUGCCAGCCGCCGCUGUAACAC
rnacentral:rRNA from 1 species